rnacentral:rRNA from 1 species
AGCCGCCGCGGGAACACCGGCGGCCCGAGUGGUGAUCGUGAUUAUUGGGUCUAAAGGGUCCGUAGCCGGUUUGGUCAGUCCUCCGGGAAAUCUGAUAGCUCAACUAUUAGGCUUUCGGGGGAUACUGCCAGACUUGGAACCGGAGAGGUAAGAGGUACUACAGGGGUAGGAGUGAAAUCUUGUAAUCCCUGUGGGACCACCUGUGGCGAAGGCGUCUUACCAGAACGGGUUCGACGGUGAGGGACGAAAGCUGGGGGGCACGAACCGGAUUAGAUACCCGGGUAGUCCCAGCCGUAAACGAUGCUCGCUAGGUGUCAGGCAUGGCGCGACCGUGUCUGGUGCCGCAGGGAAGCCGUGAAGCGAGCCACCUGGGAAGUACGGCCGCAAGGCUGAAACUUAAAGGAAUUGGCGGGGGAGCACAACAACGGGUGGAGCCCUGCGGUUUAAUUGGACUCAACGCCGGACAACUCACCGGGGGCGACAGCAAUAUGUAGGCCAAGCUGAAGACUUUGCCUGAAUCGCUGAGAAGAGGUGCAUGG